rnacentral:rRNA from 1 species
UACGAAGGGGGCUAGCGUUGUUCGGAUUUACUGGGCGUAAAGGGCGCGUAGGCGGUUCGGUAAGUUAGGCGUGAAAGCCCCGGGCUCAACCCGGGAAUAGCGCUUGAUACUGUUGCGCUUGAAUCCAGGAGAGGAUGGCGGAAUUCCCAGUGUAGAGGUGAAAUUCGUAGAUAUUGGGAAGAACACCAGUGGCGAAGGCGGCCAUCUGGCCUGGAAUUGACGCUGAGGCGCGAAAGCGUGGGGAGCAAACAGG